GAUGAACGCUGGCGGCGUGCCUAAUACAUGCAAGUCGAGCGAACGGACGAGAAGCUUGCUUUUCUGAUGUUAGCGGCGGACGGGUGAGUAACACGUGGAUAACCUACCUAUAAGACUGGGAUAACUUCGGGAAACCGGAGCUAAUACCGGAUAAUAUUUUGAACCGCAUGGUUCAAAAGUGAAAGACGGUCUUGCUGUCACUUAUAGAUGGAUCCGCGCUGCAUUAGCUAGUUGGUAAGGUAACGGCUUACCAAGGCAACGAUGCAUAGCCGACCUGAGAGGGUGAUAGGCCACCCUGGAACUGGGACACGGUCCAGGCUCCUACGGGAGGCAGCAGUAGGGAAUCUUCCGCAAUGGGCGAAAGCCUGACGGAGCAACGCCGCGUGAGUGAUGAAGGUCUUCGGAUCGUAAAACUCUGUUAUUGGGGAAGAACAUAUGUGUAAGUAACUGUGCACAUCUUGACGGUACCUAAUCAGAAAGCCACGGCUAACUACGUG
rnacentral:rRNA from 1 species